rnacentral:rRNA from 1 species
UAGGGAAUCUUCGGCAAUGGGGGCAACCCUGACCGAGCAACGCCGCGUGAGUGAAGAAGGUUUUCGGAUCGUAAAGCUCUGUUGUAAGAGAAGAACGUGUGUGAGAGUGGAAAGUUCACACAGUGACGGUAACUUACCAGAAAGGGACGGCUAACUACGUGCCAGCAGCCGCGGUAAUACGUAGGUCCCGAGCGUUGUCCGGAUUUAUUGGGCGUAAAGCGAGCGCAGGCGGUUUAAUAAGUCUGAAGUUAAAGGCAGUGGCUUAACCAGUGUUCGCUUUGGAAACUGUUAAACUUGAGUGCAGAAGGGGAGAGUGGAAUUCCAUGUGUAGCGGUGAAAUGCGGAGAUAUAUGGAGGAACACCGGUGGCGAAAGCGGCUCUCUGGUCUGUAACUGACGCUGAGGCUCGAAAGCGUGGGGAGCAAACAGG